UAUAUUAUACUUUCUCAUAAUUAAUGUAUAAAGGUUUAGCUUGUAAAGUGUUUCAUUAGUUGAGAGGUUGUUAUUUAAUAGUUUUAUAAGAUAUGUUGUUUGUAUUACUUCAAUGUAAAUUAAUUUAAAUUGUUUUUUUAUUUAGUAUUAAUGGUAUAGAAAUAAUGUUGUUAGUAAGUACUGUAAAGGAAAAUGUAUAUAUUUUUAGUUUAGUAGAUGUAAAUGGUCGUACCUUUAGUAUAAUGGGUUGAUAAUUGUACUGUUUUCUAUGAAUUUAUCUCGAAGUAAAAGGAUUUACUUAUUAAGGUUUAUGUUAACGUUGUAUAGUUAUAUAUUUAUUAUUAAGUGGUAGUGAAAUGUUUAUCGUUUUUUAUGAUAGCUAGUUUAUUAGUUUAAAAUAUUUAAGUAUUAUGAUUCUUAUAUAAUACAGGUUUAUGAAGUAUUAGUUAACUAUAUGGGGGAUAAGCUUCAUGUAAUUUUUAUAGAAUUAGUUGUUAUUAUAUAAUGAUUUAAGUAGGGUUAAUAAUGUUUUACUUUAAAAGUAAUUUAAAUUUAUAAAUAAAGGUUAAAUUCAGGUUGUUUAGCUAAUAAAUGUCUAUAAAUUAGUUUAGGUAGUUAUAAUGUUAAUAUGAGUAUUAUGUAAAUUUAUAAGUUUAUUGAUUUUAUAAAUGUUAAUAGUAAUGUUAUUUAUAUUAUUAAAGUAGGGUAAAGGAAUUCGGCAAAUAUUAAUCUCGCCUGUUUAUCAAAAACAUGUCUCUUUGUUAAUAAUAUAUAAAGAGUUGGGCCUGCUCGGUGAAAUAAAUUUAUUUUUAACAGCUGCGGUAUUUUAACUGUACUAAGGUAGCAUAAUAAUUUGCCUUAUAAUUUGAGGCUAGAAUGAAUGGUUUGACGAAGGUUAAUCUGUCUCUAUCUUAUUUUUUAGAAUUUAAUUUUUAAAGUGAAAAAGCUUGGAUUUUUUARAGGGACGAGAAGACCCUAUUGAGCUUGUAAUUUUAUUAUUAUUAUAUUAGUAGUAUUGAUAUAGUAAUAUAUAAUUUUAGUUGGGGUGAUUAAGGAAUAAAUUGUAUAGUAACUUCCUUAGGUUAUAUAUUUUAUUAUGAAGUAACCAAUAUAGUAUUGCUUAUAUUAUAGUUACCAUAGGGAUAACAGCGUAAUUUAUUUAGAGAGUUCUUAUUGAAAAAUGAGAUUGCGACCUCGAUGUUGGAUUAAAGUAUCCUUAAGGUGUAGUAGCUUUAGUAGGUAAAUCUGUUCGAUUUUUAAAACUUUACAUGAUCUGAGUUCAGACCGGUGUGAGCCAGGUUGGUUUUUAUCUUUUAAAGUGUUAUUGUUUCUUUUAGUACGAGAGGACCAAAGAAUACUAAAAUUAUUUAUUAUAUU
rnacentral:rRNA from 1 species